AGUGAACGCUGGCGGUAGGCCUAACACAUGCAAGUCGAACGGUAGCACAGUAAGAGCUUGCUCUUACGGGUGGCGAGUGGCGGACGGGUGAGGAAUACAUCGGAAUCUACUUUUUCGUGGGGGAUAACGUAGGGAAACUUACGCUAAUACCGCAUACGACCUACGGGUGAAAGCAGGGGAUCUUCGGACCUUGCGCGAUUGAAUGAGCCGAUGUCGGAUUAGCUAGUUGGCGGGGUAAAGGCCCACCAAGGCGACGAUCCGUAGCUGGUCUGAGAGGAUGAUCCGCCACACUGGAACUGAGACACGGUCCCGACUCCUACGGGAGGCAGCAGUGGGGAAUAUUGGACAAUGGGCGCAAGCCUGAUCCAGCCAUACCGCGUGGGUGAAGAAGGCCUUCGGGUUGUAAAGCCCUUUUGUUGGGAAAGAAAAGCAGCAGGUUAAUACCCCGCUGUUCUGACGGUACCCAAAGAAUAAGCACCGGCUAACUUCGUG
rnacentral:rRNA from 1 species